rnacentral:lncRNA from 1 species
GCAGAGCUGCAGUGUAACUUUUCCACAUCUUUGAACAGUAUGCAGUGGUUUUACCAACGUCCUGGGGGAAGUCUCGUCAGCGUGUUCUACAAUCCUUCUGGGACAAAGCAGAGUGGGAGACUGACAUCCACAACAGUCAUUAAAGAACGCCGCAGCUCUUUGCACAUUUCCUCCUCCCAGAUCACAGACUCAGGCACUUAUCUCUGUGCUAUGGAAC